GGAGUUUGGGCCGUGUCUCAGUCCCAAUGUGGCCGUACACCCUCUCAGGCCGGCUACUGAUCGUCGCCUUGGUAGGCCGUUACCCUGCCAACUAGCUAAUCAGACGCGGGCCCAUCCCAUACCACCGGAAUUUUUCACACCGGAAGAUGCCUCCCUGUGCGCUUAUGCGGUAUUGUCAGUCGUUUCCAACUGUUAUCCCCCUGUAUGGGGCAGGUUACCCACGCGUUACUCACCCGUCCGCCACUCGGUUCAAACUCGUCACCCCCGAAGGGGAUCGUAAAAAUGAACCUCGUUCGACUUGCAUGUGUUAAGCACGCCGCCAGCGUUCAUC
rnacentral:rRNA from 1 species